rnacentral:rRNA from 1 species
CAGCAGUCGGGAAUAUUGCACAAUGGAGGAAACUCUGAUGCAGUGACGCCGCGUGCAGGAAGAAGGUUUUCGGAUUGUAAACUGCUUUAGAUAGGGAAGAUAAAAGACUGUACCUAUAGAAUAAGCUCCGGCUAACUACGUGCCAGCAGCCGCGGUAAUACGUAGGGAGCAAGCGUUAUCCGGAUUUAUUGGGUGUAAAGGGUGCGUAGACGGGCUAACAAGUUAGUUGUGAAAUCCCUCGGCUCAACUGAGGAACUGCAACUAAAACUAUUAGUCUUGAGUGCGGGAGAGGAAAGUGGAAUUCCUAGUGUAGCGGUGAAAUGCGUAGAUAUUAGGAGGAACACCAGUGGCGAAGGCGACUUUCUGGACCGUAACUGACGUUGAGGCACGAAAGUGUGGGGAGCAAACAGGAUUAGA